ensembl:snRNA U6 U6 spliceosomal RNA
GCAUUCAUGGAGAGCGCUUAUACUAAAACUGGAAUGAGGCCCAGAUUAGAACAGCCCCUGCACAAGGGUGACACACAAAAUCAUGAAGCAUUUCGUAUUAAG